UAUCUCUGUAGAGUCUGCAUAUCAAUAAGCGGAGGAAAAGAAACUAACUAGGAUUCCCACAGUAACGGCGAGUGAAGCGGGAAGAGCUCAAAUUUGAAAUCUUCAAGGUUUUACCUUGACGAAUUGUAGUUUAAAGAAGUGUUUUCUGUUGGAGUUUUGGUAAAAGUUCUUUGGAAUAGGACAUCAUAGAGGGUGAGAAUCCCGUAUUUGACCAUUAUUUUCAGCUGUGUGAUACACUUUCAAAGAGGUCGGAUUGUUUGGGAAUGCAGUCCAAAAUGGGUGGUAAAUUUCAUCUAAAGCUAAAUACUGGCGAGAGACCGAUAGCGAACAAGUACCGUGAGGGAAAGAUGAAAAGAACUUUGAAAAGAGAGUUAAACAGUACGUGAAAUUGUCAAAAGGGAAGCGUUUGACACCAGUGUUGUUUUCUCGAAAAUCAAUUAAAAAAGGCAGGAUUUUGUGUUGUAUUGACUUUAUCAGCUUUCUGCACUCUUUUCCUUGUCUUUUUUAAUGCACUUUUCGUUUAACAAGUCAACAUCAAUUUCUUUUGUUGUAAAAGGGUCAUUGGAAGGUGGCUUUCUUUUCGGAGAAAGUGUUUAUAGCCUUUGGCCUCUGCAAUCGGAGAGAUUGAGGUCUGCAGCGUAGAUCCUUCGGGGUUAGAUACAUUUGUGCUAAGUUAUAGCCUUUCAUAGACAACUUGUUGACUAUGAUCAGUCAUGUAGCUUACUCGCUUAUGCUAUUUUACCUACGCUUAGGAUGUUGAGUCAUCACACAUCUCU
rnacentral:rRNA from 1 species